AGGGUUGUGGCUCAGGGACAGAGCGCUUGCCUAGCAUGCGUGAGGCGCUGGGUUUGAUCCCCGGCAACACAU
rnacentral:tRNA from 1 species